rnacentral:lncRNA from 1 species
CUGUUAGCUAAACACGGCUAAAGAAAACCUGCUACCACUUCAGGAUCAUCCAUCAGCAUGGACACAGUUUCUAUAAAGAGUGAGGAUGAAGAGAAACCUCUGAUGUCACACCUUCAUCAGCUGCAACUAGACAACAGAGGUGUUCCAACCAGCAGCUCAGCUGACCAGAUGACAGCAGGAAGUAGCAGGAACCCAGAUCUGAACCAUCAUGAUCAGCCAUCUGGUUCAUCUGAGACUGCAGGUAGGGUUGCAAGGAUGACCUGAUUUGAGUAUUAACCACGGUGUGAACGCUGCGGUUAACCCACCCUAAAGAUGUCUCCAUCACAGCAAAUUAAAAAACUAAGUAAUUAGCGGACCAAAACUAACGCCAAACUAAACGGACUUGUGCAGCAAAACCAGCAACAACAAGCACCGGGGCCGCUCCGUUUCCUCCUAGCAAGUGCUUGAAGUCUCCUCUGAGGGAAUGCUUUAGAUUCCUAAAGCUGCUAAAGGACAAAUUCAGGAUGAUGGCUCGUCCAUCUGCAGAGCCGGUGUUCUGACUAUCCGUGCUUCCCCGUUAAAAAUUCCUACCACAGCGUGUUACGAGAGUUUUGCUCUUGUUUUCAGUAUAGUAACAGGCUUAUUAAGCACGGUUUAUUGUAAAUUAGUGAUACUACUCAAAAAUAAAGAACUGCAGUAUAAUUAUUAGCAAGAAUAUACAGUGUUUGUCGUGAUUUAUUUAUAAUAAAGACCGUCUUUGCCAUAAUUCCGUGAAUGACGUUAAACAAUGGGAGACAUUUCCUGUUUACAGUAUAAUAACGUAAAUUUACAAUCCGUGUACAAGCUAACUGUCAGGUAAACAUACAACAAGCAGUAAUACAACAACUUCCAAAGGUAGAGCGUCGCUUCAGGUAAACAGCCUAGUAAUCGGUCUGGGCAAGUGCAUUUCCCUAAGUAGCACAUAUCAAAAGUACCAUGGAUAGUUGAAACACAGACAGAAAAAUUGUUGCGACUGCGACACCCCCAUCUUGUUAUCAUCUCUGAUAUCACGCAGACAAAUAAGUUCUGAGUCAGAUUACAUUAGUGCAGGAUUACUCAAAUGUAAUGGUCUGAGGGUUACUCAACAAAACGCCCUGGAAGCACGAGGUCUGGGGGUGGGGGGUUGUAGCUGGAUUGUUGGGCCGGGGUGGUGCUGGCGUGGCAGUUCAAGACACAACGCCUACUGAGUACCGCUGCAUUAGUGACUGAAGUGAUUCAACAGUAAUAUUAGAAUAAUCAGUGAACGGGGGUCAUUUAGUAGUUUUAUUGUGCGUUCUAGUUGUCCUCGGAACUCGGAAUUCCCAAGCAGGAAAUGACAUAACGGGCUCGUUUUGCGUUCCAGCUUCCAACUAGGCGGAAAAAAAUGGAUGCCAACAGUGUUGUUGAGUACCAAGCCAAAAGAAUUAUAUACCGUAAAUCCUCUAAUAUUAGCCUGUAUUCAAUUAACGGCCGGGUAUCAUAUUUUGGCCGGUGUCGGAGUCGGCGGAGAUAAAUAAUGGCCGGUUUUUUAUUGUGGCCGGGUGGAAUGUGGUAACAAGCAAGUAUCACUUUUGAUUUGCCAGUGAUAGACCGCGAGGGUAACUUCAACCGUGCGGAGAUGAAGAGGAGGUGAAAAUUUGAUAUCAAGUUGAAAGAGAACGUGCUGAUUAUGCUGCAGAACACUCUGGGGAGCAGUAGGGGUUGUAUGAACUAGUCACUAGUCGACUUCACCGCUCUAUAGUGACUUUUUAUGCCUGUCAUCGACUAGUCGCUGUCACGUGAUAAUGACCGGCAAGAUGCAGUCCUCGGAAAAGACAGCAACCUGCUGUCAGCAGGUGACAAGCUCCAGCGCGUCGGGAGGCAACGCGCUGUGCCAGAGCGUCGGUACUGACACCCGCCGUAAAACGGACAUUUAACCACAUUGUGACCUUUACCCUCUUGCAAUUUAACCUUCCCCUCACCCCAUUCUAACCUUAACCAGCUUGCACAUGCAAAGCUCUGAUUGUUGACGCGCUCCAGACAUCUGCGUCCUGAGCACGGCCACAGUAACGUUAUCAAAUCAGGUGUCGCCACCUCAAAAACUAAUUUAACACGCGAUCGUUCAUGUCGGCUCAUUUUCUUUUAUGUUUUCUGUCUUUUAUUCUUUUAUUUGUGCCUGAUGCGUUUCGCUGCUGUGGAUCGGGGCGCAUCACCUGUUUUGUCCUCGGUGACGCAUCUCACUGAUGCGGCCGGCAAGCAGCUCGCACUCCGCUGUUUUUGCGGUCGGUAGAUCUUUUAGAACUGCAGUUCAAAGGUAACUCAUAAGGUGAAUAUAUAUGAACCCAGGUAGCAGUUUUUCUUUAGGAUUGAGAGGAGAUGCAGGAAGAUAAUAAACAGACAGGACAGAAAAAUAGUCAAAUAAAAACAAGUUAGUUUUUGUACCUGGUGGUUGCAACAAACAGACAACAUUGAAGGUAAUCAGAAGUGAGGAACAGAAAAUGAAAUAAUUAUUUUAAUGUUUAGAGCAGCAGGAACUCCGAGAGGCUGCAGGCGUAUCAGUGAGUUUGCGGCCGCUGCGCAGGGGGAGGGGGGAGGGGACUGAAGCAGAAACUCCUGUUGUUAAAAGAAAUGAGAGUAACUUUGAAAAUGUGGGCGCAAUUUUAAUUGUCAAAAACUCCAGCGAACCACUAGUUCAUUUUGCUCAAAUAGAAAUUGAGGCCUGCCUCUAAUUCUGGUCCUCCCUC